rnacentral:rRNA from 1 species
AUUGAACGCUGGCGGAAUGCUUUACACAUGCAAGUCGAACGGCAGCACGGGGCAACCUGGUGGCGAGUGGCGAACGGUGAGUAAUAUAUCGGAACGUGCCCCAAUCGUGGGGGAUAACGUAGCGAAAGUUACGCUAAUACCGCAUACGAUCUACGGAUGAAAGCGGGGGAUCGCAAGACCUCGCGCGAAUGGAGCGGCCGAUAUCAGAUUAGGUAGUUGGUGGGUAAAGGCUCACCAAGCCAACGAUCUGUAGCUGGUCUGAGAGGACGACCAGCCACACUGGAACUGAGACACGGUCCAGACUCCUACGGGAGGCAGCAGUGGGGAAUUUUGGACAAUGGGCGCAAGCCUGAUCCAGCCAUUCCGCGUGCAGGAUGAAGGCCUUCGGUUGUAACUGCUUUGUAC